GAUGAACGCUGGCGGCGUGCCUAAUACAUGCAAGCCGAGCGAACGGACGAGAAGCUUGCUUCUCUGAUGUUAGCGGCGGACGGGUGAGUAACACGUGGAUAACCUACCUAUAAGACUGGGAUAACUUCGGGAAACCGGAGCUAAUACCGGAUAAUAUUUUGAACCGCAUGGUUCAAAAGUGAAAGACGGUCUUGCUGUCACUUAUAGAUGGAUCCGCGCUGCAUUAGCUAGUUGGUAAGGUAACGGCUUACCAAGGCAACGAUGCAUAGCCGACCUGAGAGGGUGAUCGGCCACACUGGAACUGAGACACGGUCCAGACUCCUACGGGAGGCAGCAGUAGGGAAUCUUCCGCAAUGGGCGAAAGCCUGACGGAGCAACGCCGCGUGAGUGAUGAAGGUCUUCGGAUCGUAAAACUCUGUUAUUAGGGAAGAACAUAUGUGUAAGUAACUGUGCACAUCUUGACGGUACCUAAUCAGAAAGCCACGGCUAACUACGUGCCAGCAGCCGCGGUAAUACGUAGGUGGCAAGCGUUAUCCGGAAUUAUUGGGCGUAAAGCGCGCGUAGGCGGUUUUUUAAGUCUGAUGUGAAAGCCCACGGCUCAACCGUGGAGGGUCAUUGGAAACUGGAAAACUUGAGUGCAGAAGAGGAAAGUGGAAUUCCAUGUGUAGCGGUGAAAUGCGCAGAGAUAUGGAGGAACACCAGUGGCGAAGGCGACUUUCUGGUCUGUAACUGACGCUGAUGUGCGAAAGCGUGGGGAUCAAACAGGAUUAGAUACCCUGGUAGUCCACGCCGUAAACGAUGAGUGCUAAGUGUUAGGGGGUUUCCGCCCCUUAGUGCUGCAGCUAACGCAUUAAGCACUCCGCCUGGGGAGUACGACCGCAAGGUUGAAACUCAAAGGAAUUGACGGGGACCCGCACAAGCGGUGGAGCAUGUGGUUUAAUUCGAAGCAACGCGAAGAACCUUACCAAAUCUUGACAUCCUUUGACAACUCUAGAGAUAGAGCUUUCCCCUUCGGGGGACAAAGUGACAGGUGGUGCAUGGUUGUCGUCAGCUCGUGUCGUGAGAUGUUGGGUUAAGUCCCGCAACGAGCGCAACCCUUAAGCUUAGUUGCCAUCAUUAAGUUGGGCACUCUAAGUUGACUGCCGGUGACGAACCGGAGGAAGGUGGGGAUGACGUCAAAUCAUCAUGCCCCUUAUGAUUUGGGCUACACACGUGCUACAAUGGACAAUACAAAGGGCAGCGAAACCGCGAGGUCAAGCAAAUCCCAUAAAGUUGUUCUCAGUUCGGAUUGUAGUCUGCAACUCGACUACAUGAAGCUGGAAUCGCUAGUAAUCGUAGAUCAGCAUGCUACGGUGAAUACGUUCCCGGGUCU
rnacentral:rRNA from 1 species